AUUGAACGCUGGCGGCAUGCCUUACACAUGCAAGUCGAACGGUAACGCGGGGCAACCUGGCGACGAGUGGCGAACGGGUGAGUAAUACAUCGGAACGUGCCCAGUAGUGGGGGAUAGCCCGGCGAAAGCCGGAUUAAUACCGCAUACGACCUAAGGGUGAAAGCGGGGGAUUGCAAGACCUCGCGCUAUUGGAGCGGCCGAUGUCAGAUUAGCUGGUUGGUGGGGUAAAAGCCCACCAAGGCGACGAUCUGUAGCUGGUCUGAGAGGACGACCAGCCACACUGGGACUGAGACACGGCCCAGACUCCUACGGGAGGCAGCAGUGGGGAAUUUUGGACAAUGGGGGCAACCCUGAUCCAGCCAUGCCGCGUGCGGGAAGAAGGCCUUCGGGUUGUAAACCGCUUUUGUCAGGGAAGAAACGGUCUGCGCUAAUACCGCGGACUAAUGACGGUACCUGAAGAAUAAGCACCGGCUAACUACGUGCCAGCCGCCGCCGUAAUAC
rnacentral:rRNA from 1 species